rnacentral:rRNA from 1 species
CGUAACAAAGGUUUCCGUAGGUGAACCUGCGGAAGGAUCAUUG